GACGAACGCUGGCGGCGUGCUUAACACAUGCAAGUCGAACGGAAAGGCCCCUUUGGGGGUACUCGAGUGGCGAACGGGUGAGUAACACGUGAGUAACCUGCCCUUGACUUCGGGAUAACUUCAGGAAACUGGGGCUAAUACCGGAUAGGAAUCCUUGCUGCAUGGUGGGGGUUGGAAAGCUUCGGCGGUUUUGGAUGGACUCGCGGCUUAUCAGCUUGUUGGUGGGGUAGUGGCUUACCAAGGCUUUGACGGGUAGCCGGCCUGAGAGGGCGACCGGCCACAUUGAGACUGAGAUACGGCCCAGACUCCUACGGGAGGCAGCAGUGGGGAAUAUUGCACAAUGGGCGGAAGCCUGAUGCAGCAACGCCGCGGGCGGGAUGACGGCCUUCGGGUUGAAAACCGCAUUCAGCAGGGGCGAAGCUUGUGGUGACGGUACCUGCAGAAGAAGCACCGGCUAACUACGUG
rnacentral:rRNA from 1 species